rnacentral:rRNA from 1 species
UUAAGUCCAUGCUACCUUGAACAAGCGCGAUCCCUUCUGAUCUCAGAGGCUAAGCAGAGUCGGGCCUGGUUAGUACUUGGAUGGGAGACCACCUAGGAAGACCAGGUGCUGCUGUAG